rnacentral:rRNA from 1 species
GGAAUACGCUCUGGAAACGGAGAACAAAUUCCGAUGUACAGGAAGGAGGCAUCUUCUUUCUGUGAAACAUCCUUUAGGGGAUGGGGCGCGGAUGGACCUGCGGUGCAUUAGUUGGUUGGCGGGGUAAAGGCCCACCAAGACGAUGAUGCAUAGCCGGCCUGAGAGGGCGGACGGCCACAUUGGGACUGAGACACGGCCCAGACUCCUGCGGGAGGCAGCAGUAGGGAAUUUUCGUCAAUGGGCGCAAGCCUGAACGAGCGAUGCCGCGUGAGUGAAGAAGGCCUUCGGGUCGUAAAGCUCUGUUGCGGGGGAAAAAAGGCAGCAUCAGGAAAUGGGUGCUGACUGAUGGUGCCCCGCCAGAAAGUCACGGCUAACUACGUGCCAGCAGCCGCGGUAAUACGUAGGUGGCGAGCGUUAUCCGGAAUGAUUGGGCGUAAAGGGUGCGCAGGCGGUCCUGCAAGUCUGGAGUGAAACGCAUGAGCUCAACUCAUGCAUGGCUUUGGAAACUGGAGGACUGGAGAGCAGGAGAGGGCGGUGGAACUCCAUGUGUAGCGGUAAAAUGCGUAGAUAUAUGGAAGAACACCAGUGGCGAAGGCGGCCGCCUGGCCUGUUGCUGACGCUGAGGCACGAAAGCGUGGGGAGCAAAUAGGAUUAGAUACCCUAGUAGUCCACGCCGUAAAC